CCACUGUGGCACACAUGCCAUUGGUUUACCAUCUUUGCUGUAUACCUAUUUUUGUGGCUUUUCAGCUGCCACCUAUUUGCUGAUGGUUCCCAAAUUCGUAUCUCCAGUCAACCUCUCUCCAGAGCUUCUGACCUAUAUUUCCAGUUGGCCUCUUCAUGUGAAUGCUGUCUAAACCGAAUAUAUCCCAAUCUGAAUUCCCCAUCUGUCUCAGUGCUUGUUUCUUGUCUUUUAACUGCUGUGGUACAGGGGAAUGAACCCAGGGCUUCACACAUGCCGGGUAAGCUCUACCGCUGAGUUACAUCCCCAGCUCUUUUUACUUUUAGUUCGAGACAGUCUUGCUAAGUUGCCCAGGCUGGCCUUGAAAUUUUGAUCCUCCUGCCUCAUCCUCUCAAGUAGCUGGGAUUGCAGAUGUGUAGCACCACACCCAGAUGUACUUCUGGUUUUUCUAAAUCUAACAAUGCUACACCAGGGUGGUAGUAUUAAGAGGCAGGGUCUUUAAGAGCUUAUAAGGCCAUGACGGCUUGUCCCUGCUUAAAGGAUUAAGCUUGUAAAUAAGUCUCCGUGGAGCAUUUGGCCAGCCUGCCCUUGUACCCUUCUGCCAUGCCAGGACACAGCAUCCUGCCUUCUGGGUGAUGCAGCAAAAAGACCUUCAUCAGAUGCAGCACCUGAUCUUGGACUUCAUAAGCUCUACAACUGGAUUGAACUCGGGUCCUUGCACUUGUGAGGCAGGCGCUGGAACCACUGAGCCAAAUCCCUGGCCCCAAGUAUUUCAUCCUUUGUCAUUAAGGUCUCCCUCAGGCUGACCCACAACACACUAUGUACCCCAGGCUGGCCUUGAACUCUCGGUGAUCCAACUGCCUCAGCCUCCUGUGUGCUGGGAUUACAGGCAUGCACCACCAGGCCUGGCUCGAUUGAUUGAUUUUUUUUUUUAGGUACUAGGAUAGAACUCAGGACCUUGCUCUUGCCAGGUGAGUGCAGCUGAGCCACAUCCCUGGCCCAGAUUGAUUGAUCUUUGAAUGUAAACCAAUUUUGA
rnacentral:lncRNA from 1 species